CCGAUGACCGAGGACACGGCGAUCACCACCUCCAUUCCGAUGUAGAGAGGCAGAGCCGAAGCCAUGGUCACAGAUGCCUGAUCGGAGAGCAGAAGAAGAAGAAGAAGAAGAAGAACUCUGACGCUCGGGGAUUAUUUAGGAUGUGAGUACAGGACGUGCAGUCUGGACGCGCGCCAGACGCAAAACUUCAUCAGUUUCCGAGAAAGAAGUGUCCUCCCCUCCACUGCACCCCGACGCACCGCAGUUCGGCAGGCUGAGGAGCGCGACGGAGUACCGGAGAAGAGAAUGAGUCAAGAACAGAUCCCCAAAGAGCGGAUUAUCUCCAGAGGGUCAAAACACACGGAAUCCACCCCCGAAGUCCG